rnacentral:rRNA from 1 species
UGAACGCUGGCGGCGUGCCUAAUACAUGCAAGUCGAGCGACCAGACGAGGAGCUUGCUCCUCUGACGUUAGCGGCGGACGGGUGAGUAACACGUGGAUAACCUACCUAUAAGACUGGGAUAACUUCGGGAAACCGGAGCUAAUACCGGAUAAUAUAUUGAACCGCAUGGUUCAAUAGUGAAAGACGGUUUUGCUGUCACUUAUAGAUGGAUCCGCGCCGCAUUAGCUAGUUGGUAAGGUAACGGCUUACCAAGGCAACGAUGCGUAGCCGACCUGAGAGGGUGAUCGGCCACACUGGAACUGAGACACGGUCCAGACUCCUACGGGAGGCAGCAGUAGGGAAUCUUCCGCAAUGGGCGAAAGCUUGACGGAGCAACGCCGCGUGAGUGAUGAAGGUCUUCGGAUCGUAAAACUCUGUUAUUAGGGAAGAACAAAUGUGUAAGUAACUAUGCACGUCUUGACGGUACCUAAUCAGAAAGCCACGGCUAACUACGUG